rnacentral:tRNA from 1 species
UGGCCCGUUGGUCAAGUGGUUAAGACACGGCCCUUUCACGGCCGUAACAUGGGUUCAAAUCCCGUACGGGUCAU